AGGAAGAAGCAUCGACAACGACUUGCUCGCUGGCUGCUACCUCCUCCUCCCCCUUCCCUUUGCCCCUCCUCCUCCCCCUUCCCUUUGCCUCUUCUCCCAGAUUUGGGAUGAGGGAGGGGGCAUCAGCAAUGGAAAGAUUCAGUUCCUCUCUCUUUCUCAGGACAGACCGACCCCGUUCCGUUCCUGAGACCUUUAGACGUGUAUAUUAUCUCUAUUUUGGAUGGCUACAGCUAGGCAGGAACCAGCUUAUUUCGCCUGUUUGAUGCUCUACCAAGAAGACACUUGCCACAUGUCAGCCCCUCAUAUGAACUUCCAAGCAUCCAGAACUAUUAACCAACAAAUCUCUGUUCAUCAUAACUUACUCAGUGCGGAGAUGUAGAACUCUCGGCUCCUGCUGCACCAUGCCUGCCUGGAUGCUGUCAUGUCCCUGCCUUGAUGAUACUGGACUGAACCUCUGAACCUGCUCUGUCUGCAUGUCUCGCACUUCUGACCCUCGGAAAGACACCCUGUGAACAGUUGCUGCCCAGCAGCUUGGCCGAGGUGGAAGGGGAAAAUGGGGUGAGCAUUUACUGAAACUGGGCAGGCUGAAGUGGAAAUCCCCAAAGAGAAAGAUGCAAAGCAAACUGUUUCUAGCAAGGAUGGAGAAAUCUUAGAACCGAAGCAGAUGCAGGCACAAGAGCACGAUGCAAAAUUAAUUCUAUGCUGAAAGGAAAAUGUGAAGACUAUAUCCCCAGA